UAUGUUUUGUGCAUUCAUCAUUUGUACAAUAGAGUGAAUUAGACACAUUGCUGAGUACAUAUAACUUGUUUUAAUUAAAUAUAAAAUCCACAAUUACAAUAAAUACAUUUACUAUUUUAAAUAAGCCAUACCUGUGUUUUGAUGGUUUGGUAAGCUGGGUUUAAAAAGGAGUAAUUGGUACUUACAAUCAUCUUUAUAUUACUAAACUACUAAACCUCCAAAAUUUGGAGUUUGCAAGUUUCCAUUUACAUACAAAACUUUCGAAAGUCAAUUAACCAAAUAUUUAUUUAAAAAUAUGCUUUCAUUGGUACACAGUAAAUUAAACCACAGCCAUUUGUUGAGCUAAAGCCCAAAUCCUCCGUUUUCAAUCCCAUUAAACUGGCAAAAUAAUGUAGUACAUAGUAUGAAGACUAUUGAGAAUUCUAGGUUUGUUCUCAAAAUCUUGACUUUCUGAUACUUAGGUAAACAUAUUUUGAAUAAAAAAAGUCUUAAUUAAGUUUGUUUGCCAGCAGGGAGGUCACCGUGGAGUUGGUGGGAGAAGAUGAAUUUGUCAACAAAAACAUCUAUGAGAGCAGUCCUGGCACGGUCAGGGUGAAGACCGUGGUGGGAGAGACAGAAAACACCUAUGAGAGCACUCUGGACAUGGUCCGGUAGGAAAACGCACAAACGUUUCUGCUGCAGUAACUCAGUACUUCUUCCAACACUGAUAAAUACGUUUUGUUUGUUCAUCAGGAGCAAAGACGACAUGAAUGCUUACGACAACCUGGUGAUGGACGGCACUGAAGACAAAGUUACCUCCAUGUGACCGUCCCGCAGUGAUCCUGUUGUCUGAACAUCGUCCCCACAGACUCAGGACAAAAUUCUUUUCUAUGGAACAAAAAUCCCAUUUAAUGAUGUUUUUCUUGAUGAAUGUCGUCUUAGUUUUGUCGUAUCUGUUCUCUCUGGUGGGUGAAGCUGGGAAUCAGAAUUUAUUAUUUUUUUUAUUCAACUUAUAUCAGUAAGCAUAAAAUGCGUCAUUAUAAAACUGUCUAUCCUGUGAUCCUGAUGAAUAAGUUAUCGUUCCUUACAAACUGCUGUGUGGGUUCUUGUUACUGAUCAAUGAAAGAAUGACUUGUGAUUAAUAAUUACACUCUGCCGGAACUCGCCCAUUUUUACAAAAAAUGUUAGUUCAGGUGUCUGUAAUAGCAGUCGUAGCGCCUCCUUGACGGUUCAUUGAGUUGACCCCUGAUCACCAGAUUAUAAUUAAUAUAUAAAAGACUCCAGCAAGGUG